AAAUUUUUGCAACUUUGGAACUCUUCAAAGCAGAGAAACUAUUCAGAAAUCCUUCUUUUAGACUUCAGCUUUAUAUCCUUCCAUUUUGUACAUAAACCACUCUCAUUGUAAUUAUGCUUAUUUUAAUCGACCUAAAAUAGCUUUUGUUCUUCAAUUCAUAGGUCCUUGGCAUUUCCAUCUUUCAAGCUACAAAACAUGCAGGUUCAGGUGGAGAACUGAGGAAAGACAGUUGUGCUGGGCUUCAGAAAAGAAUAUCCAAACGAGUUUUCAGGACUGUGUAAUCAUCCUUCUGAGCAUCAGUUUCCAGUCAGAACUGCAGAUGUCAAUGGAGGUGGAAACAAGACCCAGAAGAAAGGCAGUUUUUGAGAAUUUUCCAAUGUGA
rnacentral:lncRNA from 1 species